rnacentral:rRNA from 1 species
UACGUAGGGUGCGAGCGUUGUCCGGAAUUAUUGGGCGUAAAGGGCUCGUAGGCGGUUUGUCGCGUCGGGAGUGAAAUCCACUGGCUUAACUGGUGGCUUGCUUUCGAUACGGGCAGACUGGAGGUAUGCAGGGGAGAACGGAAUUCCUGGUGUAGCGGUGAAAUGCGCAGAUAUCAGGAGGAACACCGGUGGCGAAGGCGGUUCUCUGGGCAUGUCCUGACGCUGGAGGAGCGAAAGCAUGGGGAGCGAACAGG